UGGUGGUCCUAUCAAAGCUGCAGCAACUUCCAUAUAGAUGUUAUGGUUAAAAAAAGAAGCUCAGACUGACAAUUUUCCUUAACAAUUGCUGUCCUAUUUGUAGCAACUGGUCUGCAGCAUUAUGGGAAAAGACAGUC